AUAUGAUAUUCUUAUACAUGGAAAACAUGUUCUUCUUAAAAGAUGAGCGAAGCGUAUGCAAUGCAUACAAUGUGUCUGCCGUGUCCCUUAAUCCGUCUAUUCAAGAGGUAGAAGCUUUUGCCAAAUUGUUACCAAAGGAAAAUAUAUCUUUGGCAACUGUGCAGUCUAAACCACUUUCGAUGGUGUCAAUGAUGUCAGAAGUUAACGGAAAAUACCGUAUAUAUCACAUGAGUGUUCUAGAGUGAGCCCAACCGAAAGCCCAUAUAAGUAUUUCUAUUAUCUCUACUUCCCUUCCGAUCGAGAAGGAAGAUUGCAGAGCUCAAUUUCAAAUGGGGUCGAUUCUGGGAGAUUUUCCGUCCUUCGAUCCUCACAAUUUCAGUCAACAUCGUCCCUCUGACCCUUCUAAUCCCUCUGUAAAUCCUUCCCUGAUUUUGGCUUUUAAUCAUUUUGAAUUUGUCUAAAAUCGGAUAUGAGAAUAAUAUGAAUUGAGACUUGGUUUGUUCAUUGAGAUAUUGGAAGAAUGUUAUUGGGAGGAGGGGGCGAUGAAAAUUGAUAGACAUAUAUAUAUUAUUGAGCUACACCUAUGUUAUACAUAAUCAUAAUAUAUACAAUCAACAUAUUUUUAGAUAUCUAAUCCCGCACAAAGUGCGGGUUACUACCUGAUUUCAAGAUUAAUUUACAAGUCAUUUUACUUCUGGUUUUUCUUGUAAACUGCCAUCAAUGCCAAGGCAUAUAAGUUAGAUUAGAUUUAUAUGGAAAGAACAGAAAGGGAAGGUAUGAGAAAUUAAGUAUCUAAGUAAUGGUGCGGUGUACGAAUGGUCCAAUGUAGCACAUGGCAAUUUGCAUCUUGUACAUACGAAUGCAUAUCUCUGCAUGUGUGUAAAUAAUAUUGUCUUCAAUUAUUUGAUCGUGGUUUGGUAUGCCUAGACCCUAGAUGAUCGUGUUAGUUAUAGCCUAUCUUUGCAAACUUGUACGAUUCAUAUCACAAGAAAAAAGAAACAGAUCUCUGUAAUCAAUUCGUAUAACUUUUGGCCGACUAAACCGGUCUCUACACCGCACUUUGUGCCUUUGGGAUCUUUUAUUUUGCCCAAUAUAUACCAUUACCUCAUAAGUAUGAGAGCAGUUUAUGUUUUUUUUAAUCCAUUUCAGCUAGGAGAUGCUUAUUCUGCAAUAAUUAAAGUCAAACGAUUUCAGGCAAGAUCAGAUCUUUUGGCUCUCGCAUAGUGAACUACUGUAAUCUGUAUUUGACACAGUUUUCGUUAGAUAUUUAUUUUUAACACAGCUAUGUAAACACAUGGUGUGGAUAGGUCUUAGAAGUAGAUGGAUCGUGUCCACUUGUUUCACGAACUUCCCUAUCCAAUUUACCCCACAAGGAUUUAGCGAAUCUGCCCCCUUCCAUC